rnacentral:ncRNA from 1 species
GCAGAGUAGGAACCGGCGCGUUAAGUGCCGCUUGGACGGGGAGUUGCCAGGCGGACGAAAAGGACCCCUUGCGGUGCCGUUUCCGCAUCCCGCUGC